AUUGAACGCUGGCGGCAGGCCUAACACAUGCAAGUCGAGCGGAUGAGUGGAGCUUGCUCCAUGAUUCAGCGGCGGACGGGUGAGUAAUGCCUAGGAAUCUGCCUGGUAGUGGGGGACAACGUUUCGAAAGGAACGCUAAUACCGCAUACGUCCUACGGGAGAAAGUGGGGGAUCUUCGGACCUCACGCUAUCAGAUGAGCCUAGGUCGGAUUAGCUAGUUGGUGAGGUAAAGGCUCACCAAGGCGACGAUCCGUAACUGGUCUGAGAGGAUGAUCAGUCACACUGGAACUGAGACACGGUCCAGACUCCUACGGGAGGCAGCAGUGGGGAAUAUUGGACAAUGGGCGAAAGCCUGAUCCAGCCAUGCCGCGUGUGUGAAGAAGGUCUUCGGAUUGUAAAGCACUUUAAGUUGGGAGGAAGGGCAGUAAGUUAAUACCUUGCUGUUUUGACGUUACCAACAGAAUAAGCACCGGCCAACUUCGUGCCAGCCGCCGCUGUAAUAC
rnacentral:rRNA from 1 species